rnacentral:rRNA from 1 species
AUUAACGCUAGCGGCAGGCAUAAUACAUGCAAGUUGAACGGCAGCACAGGUAGCAAUACCGGGUGGCGAGUGGCGCACGGGUGCGUAACACGUAUGCAACCUACCCUAUACAGGCGAAUAACCUUUAGAAAUGAGGGCUAAUACGCCGUGGUAUUAUCUUGGGGCAUCUUGAGAUAAUUAAAGAUUUAUCGGUAUAGGAUGGGCAUGCGUCCCAUUAGUUAGUUGGUAGGGUAACGGCCUACCAAGGCUAUGAUGGGUAGGG